CUACGUGCCAGCAGCCGCGGUAAUACGGAAGGUCCCGGCGUUAUCCGGAUUUAUUGGGUUUAAAGGGAGCGUAGGCCGUGGAUUAAGCGUGUUGUGAAAUGUAGACGCUCAACGUCUGACUUGCAGCGCGAACUGGUUCACUUGAGUGUGCGCAACGCAGGCGGAAUUCGUGGUGUAGCGGUGAAAUGCUUAGAUAUCACGAAGAACUCCGAUUGCGAAGGCAGCUUGCGGGAGCACAACUGACGCUGAAGCUCGAAAGUGCGGGUAUCAAACAGGAUUAGAUACCCUGGUAGUCCACGCAGUAAACGAUGAAUACUAGAUUUUUGCGAUAUAGUGUAAGAGUCUAAGCGAAAGCGAUAAGUAUUCCACCUGGGGAGUACGCCGGCAACGGUGAAACUCAAAGGAAUUGACGGGGGCCCGCACAAGCGGAGGAACAUGUGGUUUAAUUCGAUGAUACGCGAGGAACCUUACCCGGGAU
rnacentral:rRNA from 1 species